GGGGCCCGAGGACCCGGGGCAGCAGCCAGAAGUCAGGAACCCGGGGACUGGCAGUGGGACCAUCUGGACACGUACCUCAGAAAGAAAAGAAAAAAUAAAAUCCAGCAGCAGGAUAAAUGGAGGGAAACGGCGGGCUAAAGAAACACCAGGGAAAGAUGUAGGAGCAUUAAAGGUGAUCAAACUGAAACACGGCAAAUGCCACGGCAGACCCUGGGGCAAAACGAGCAUCUGCUGCUCUUCACAGCAGAAUUAAACUCGUGUGAAAAGUACCGAGUAAACGCAGGCAAGGAAGUGAAAGGAAAACUGCCUUCAGAGGUACAAGGCAGUAGAUAGGUGUCGGGGACUCUGAUGCUAUUUCCUGUGAGUCUAUAAUUAUUUCAAAAUAAAAAGGUCUUGCAAGGGGACCGAACACGGAUGAGUGGUGACCAGGGGAAAGGGCUGACCAAAAAGAAGCAAAUUGGGGGGGCGGGGCGGGGGCCUGCUCUACAUCUUUAUUGUGUGAGCGACUACACCACUGUUCUGUUCACCACACCCAUAAGACGGUAGAUUUUACUGUAGGUAAAAUAGUUUUAAACUCAAAAUGAUACUGCUAGUAAAGAUGAAUUUCCUAACAUCUUGCAGCAACUAUGGAUAUAAAUUAGAGAUUUGGUGAUCAAUAGGGAAAACAAAAAUUGUGUUUAGGACCAUAAACUUGUGUCGCAUUCCUUAGCUUAGAACUUGUCUUAUUUGAUGAUUCUAAUGCAGAGAACAUUUUAUUGCCAGAGCUUAUAUCUUUAUGUGUUAAAAAGAAACAACAGACCCAAAAUGGAGUCACUUUUGCUAAGCCCCACCAAGACUUGGUACCUAACUAACUGCGGUUUUCAGUCAGUCUGGAAUUUCCCUGGUCGGCACCAGUGAGGCAAUCGGCCUGAUAAAACUCCCUGCCUUCCGCUAUGGGAAGGUAACCUGCUGAAGUGACCCACUCUUUCAGCUUUCUUGUCCGACCCUCUUUCUGGCUGUAAAAACCUUUCAUUGUGUACAACUCAGAGAGCCCCUCUAGGGUGCUAGAUGGGACGCUGCCCAAUCCAUCACCCACUUAAUAAAGCCAAUCACAUCUCCAAAUUUACUCAGUUGAGUUUUGUUUAUUAACAUAUGGCAUUUGACAUUUUGGGAAAUUACUCUGUUUCAUUUGAUUUUUAGUAGUACACGUAUGUACUUACAAUACAUAAAGCCAGGGACUUUGGUACUCAGGGAUUCGAACAUUUGUCUGAAAAAAAGCAAUGGAGGACUGUCAAUUUUUAAUGACAUCCUAUAAUUCUCUAAUUAUCUGUGUUUCCUAAGAAAAAAAGUUUUAGAAAUUUUCUGAGCGUUACUGAAAAUUAGUCGUAAAAGUCAGGAGCCAAGGAUAAGUUAAUAUAGAGUCUCAACAGCAUGGUAGUAUAGCUAAUAAUGAAUAGCAGUGGGAUUGUGUAUUUUGAGGUGUUUUGAGGAUCCUAUUCUUGAUGGUCCAUUUUGUACUAUGAAGAGAAUAGCAUGUUUCAGGAAAUACUCUAUUUGAACUGUUUGAAUAAAGAUUGACACAUUUUAGUAAAUGUUA